rnacentral:lncRNA from 1 species
GUUCUUUCUAUGUAAGAUAUGUAAAUGACACAAAGAAUUAUGAACUCUAUCUAUCCAUCAGAUUAGAUGUUACCUUCAAAUUAUUAACUCUAUUUGCGGGGUUCUGGUCUUCCAUAGAAGAUUGAUAUGGACCUUUGGCUAGGGGAACCUACACUUCUCAUUGAUUCUAGCUAUAAUCGAAAACUAGAAAACUAACAAGAAGGAUUGUUUG